rnacentral:rRNA from 1 species
UGGGGAAUAUUGGGCAAUGGGGGAAACCCUGACCCAGCAACGCCGCGUGAAGGAAGAAGGCUUUCGGGUUGUAAACUUCUUUUACCAGGGACGAAGGACGUGACGGUACCUGGAGAAAAAGCAACGGCUAACUACGUGCCAGCAGCCGCUGUAAUACGUAGGUUGCAAGCGUUGUCCGGAUUUACUGGGUGUAAAGGGCGUGUAGGCGGAGAAGCAAGUUGGGAGUGAAAUCCAUGGGCUCAACCCAUGAACUGCUCUCAAAACUGUUUCCCUUGAGUAUCGGAGAGGCAAGCGGAAUUCCUAGUGUAGCGGUGAAAUGCGUAGAUAUUAGGAGGAACACCAGUGGCGAAGGCGGCUUGCUGGACGACAACUGACGCUGAGGCGCGAAAGCGUGGGGAGCAAACAGGAUUAGAUACCC